rnacentral:tRNA from 2 species
GGACAGGUGCCAGAGCGGUUGAUUGGGACGGUCUUGAAAACCGUUAGGGAGUUUCCCUCCCUCGUGGGUUCGAAUCCCACCCUGUCCG